rnacentral:rRNA from 1 species
UACGGAGGGGGCUAGCGUUGUCCGAAGUUACUGGGCGUAAAGCGCGCGUAGGCGGGUUGGUAAGUCCGCUGUGAAAGCCCGGAGCUCAACUCCGGAGGGUCGGUGGAUACUGCCAGUCUUGAAGGUGCUAGGGGGAGAUGGAAUUACCGGGUGUAGCGGUGAAAUGCGUAGAUAUCGGUAGGAACACCAGUGGCGAAGGCGGCCUGCUGGGCAGUGGCUGACGCUGAGGCGCGACAGCGUGGGGAGCAAACAGG